CCUGAGCUAUGCACUGUAGCAGUUACGGAAGCAAAGAAAUGGUUGGAAGAGAGAAGGCAGGGACUAGGCUUAAAGCCUGAAGACAAUGGAACAUGCACAUUGAACACUGAUAUGUUAAGUUCCGUGAGUAUAAAUAUCUAUUCCUUCUAUUCUUUAUUAACCAUUUAGUUUUUGUUGAUUGGCAAAACCAACUGCUGGUUCUUUUUUUGGAUAAAUUGCUGCUUACUUUUGUGGAUCACUUAUGCAGGGCAUUGACUCUGACAUGGGUUCUCCAGUUGACUUAGCAAAAUCAUACAUGCAAUCAUUACCUCCUUGGCAGUCCCCAUUCUUAGGCAGUCAGAAGUUUAACACAUC
rnacentral:lncRNA from 1 species